rnacentral:lncRNA from 1 species
GUACAGGGGAUGGAACUCAGGACCUUGAGCUUAUGAGGCAGGCACUGGAACCACUGAGUGAAAUCCCCAGCCCCUCCUUUGUCAAAGAGAAGGGGAUCGAACUCCGGUCCUUGCGCUGGAAACCACUGAGGGUCUUGCUGGCCUGGAAAGUGAAACCCUUCCUCCUCAGCCUCCUGCGCAGGUAGGAUUACAGCCCAGCUAUGGAAUUCCAAGACAUAAUUCCAUUUUGUCCUCCGCUCCCAACUGAGACCUCAAUGAUCCGGUGAUGCUGUGAUUCUCCAGGACAGGAAACAUCCUGGGAGCUGCAAACAUCCUGGGAGAACAAACAUCUACUCAGUUCCUCCUUGAUCUUGGACUGUUACACCUUGUUUACCCAGGAUGUACUGAACUCUCUGCGAGUCAUUUGUUACAUUUGUUUCUCCCGAUGUACUGAGUACUGAAUAAAAGGUGCAGUAAGCUGGGGGCUUUCGUCUUUGCCCCCCAGAGCAGCACUGAUCAGACCCAAAGCUCAGCUUCUUCUCAGUCUCAUUUUUCUACCUUUUCUGUAAUUUGCCUUGUGCUGCUGUGGCUCGCAGGAGACUAGGACUUAACUGCAGAGGUUCUGGUAACGUCCCCUUUCCCUGUUCUCUACAACAGUGCUAUCACAUUAUCCUCUCAAUUGUAGGAUUACAGGUUGUGGCAUUUUAUCUAUAGUUUCAAGUGUUAUACAACGAAUCUGUAUUACUUGUAAAGCAAAACUAUAAGUGUGAAAAAGAAAAUCAUCUCUAGCUUUUUCAAAAGCAGAUUAUUUUGGCAUUUCCCCAGAACGGCUGUGUCUCAGCAUGGCACUGUGGGCCAUGAAGGGAUGCUCAGCAUCUGCACAGGGUCGUUCCUUGACUUCCUCUAAUACGGUGGACUGCGUUGUUUUUCUUUCUUUCUUUUUUUUUUUUGGUACCGGGGAUUGGACUGCAUUUUUAAGAAGUUAUUGAGAAUGUAAUUGAGUUUCUUCUAGCUUCUCAUCCCUUCAGGGCUGCUGCCAACCUGGGAAUGUCCUGUCAGCUCGUUUGUGUAUCCUUGUGUCCUUCAGUGAGCCCUCCACUCACCCUAUGUGCAUUCUUCUAGGGACAUGAUAUUUCAACUCAAAAGGCAGCUUUUAAAGGGGAUAUAUUUACUCUGUGCUGCCACUAUGGAAAUCAGUACAGAGGUUCCACAAAAAACUAAAAACAGAGGGGCUGGAGAUUUAGCUCAGUGGUUCCGCCGCCUGC